rnacentral:rRNA from 1 species
GAGUUUGAUCUUGGCUCAGAUUGAACGCUGGCGGCAUGCCUUACACAUGCAAGUCGAACGGCAGCACGGGGGCUUGCUCCUGGUGACGAGUGGCGAACGGGUGAGUAAUGCAUCGGAACGUAUCCUGGAGUGGGGGAUAACGUAGCGAAAGUUACGCUAAUACCGCAUAUUCUGUGAGCAGGAAAGCGGGGGACCUUCGGGCCUCGCGCUCUUGGAGCGGCCGAUGUCGGAUUAGCUAGUUGGUGAGGUAAAGGCUCACCAAGGCGACGAUCCGUAGCAGGUCUGAGAGGAUGAUCUGCCACACUGGAACUGAGACACGGUCCAGACUCCUACGGGAGGCAGCAGUGGGGAAUUUUGGACAAUGGGGGCAACCCUGAUCCAGCCAUGCCGCGUGAGUGAAGAAGGCCUCGGUU